CACCUCUUCCAGGAAGCUGUCCUCCACAAGCCUGACGAUCUCGUACAUGGCUGCCUUGAAGACCGUCUCCAUGACGCCGGAUAGCUGCGCCUGGAACGCCAGGAUGGCCUCCGACAUCUCGGGUCUCCUUGCCUUGUGCCCUGUGUUCUGCAGAGAGGAUGCAAGCUCAGCACCACCACAGAGGGCACUUAUAGAAGGAGAAGGGGCAGAGCAAAGUGAAUCACAGCAGGCAAGGUGACCUUUCACAAUAUGACCCCUUCAUGGGGAAUGACAGACACAGCAGAGUUAUUCAUGAAAUCCUUAAAUAAAUCCUUUAUUAAGGCA